UAAAAUGAUAGGUCAUAGGGAGAUCAGA
rnacentral:sRNA from 1 species